UUGGCCUACGGGGGGCAGCAGUGGGGAAUAUUGCACAAUGGGGGAAACCCUGAUGCAGCGACGCCGCGUGAGCGAUGAAGUAUUUCGGUAUGUAAAGCUCUAUCAGCAGGGAAGAAAAUGACGGUACCUGACUAAGAAGCCCCGGCUAACUACGUGCCAGCAGCCGCGGUAAUACGUAGGGGGCAAGCGUUAUCCGGAUUUACUGGGUGUAAAGGGAGCGUAGACGGCGAUGCAAGCCAGAUGUGAAAGCCCGGGGCUCAAACCCUGGACUGCAUUUGGAACUGUAUAGCGCG
rnacentral:rRNA from 1 species